GACGAACGCUGGCGGCGUGCCUAAUACAUGCGAGUCGAGCGCAGGAAACCGUCUGAACCCUUCGGGGGGUUGACGGCGGAAUGAGCGGCGGACGGGUGAGUAACACGUAAAGAACCUGCCCACGGGUCUGGGAUAACCACGAGAAAUCGGGGCUAAUACCGGACGGGUCAUCGGACCGCAUGGUCCGAGGAUGAAAGGCGCUCCGGCGUCGCCCGUGGAUGGCUUUGCGGUGCAUUAGCUAGUUGGUGGGGUAACGGCCCACCAAGGCGACGAUGCAUAGCCGACCUGAGAGGGUGAUCGGCCACACGGGGACUGAGACACGGCCCAGACUCCUACGGGAGGCAGCAGUAGGGAAUCUUCCACAAUGGACGAAAGUCUGAUGGAGCAACGCCGCGUGAACGAUGAAGGCCCUCGGGUCGUAAAGUUCUGUUGUAAGGGAAGAACAAGUGCCGCAGGCAAUGGCGGCACCUUGACGGUACCUUGCGAGAAAGCCACGGCUAACUACGUGCCAGCCGCCGCGGUAAGAC
rnacentral:rRNA from 1 species